rnacentral:rRNA from 1 species
GGAACGGUAGCUAAUACCGCAUAACGUCGCAAGACCAAAGAGGGGGACCUUCGGGCCUCUUGCCAUCAGAUGUGCCCAGAUGGGAUUAGCUAGUAGGUGGGGUAACGGCUCACCUAGGCGACGAUCCCUAGCUGGUCUGAGAGGAUGACCAGCCACACUGGAACUGAGACACGGUCCAGACUCCUACGGGAGGCAGCAGUGGGGAAUAUUGCACAAUGGGCGCAAGCCUGAUGCAGCCAUGCCGCGUGUAUGAAGAAGGCCUUCGGGUUGUAAAGUACUUUCAGCGGGGAGGAAGGCGAUAAGGUUAAUAACCUUGUCGAUUGACGUUACCCGCAGAAGAAGCACCGGCUAACUCCGUGCCAGCAGCCGGGGUUAAUACGA